CGUUAGCGGCGGACGGGUGAGUAACACGUGGGUAACCUACCUAUAAGACUGGGAUAACUUCGGGAAACCGGAGCUAAUACCGGAUAAUAUUUCGAACCGCAUGGUUCGAUAGUGAAAGAUGGUUUUGCUAUCACUUAUAGAUGGACCCGCGCCGUAUUAGCUAGUUGGUAAGGUAACGGCUUACCAAGGCGACGAUACGUAGCCGACCUGAGAGGGUGAUCGGCCACACUGGAACUGAGACACGAUCCAGACUCCUACGGGAGGCAGCAGCA
rnacentral:rRNA from 1 species